CAAGGAAUAGUUUAUAUAGAAUUUUAAUUUUGGAGAUUAAAGAAGGGAGAUUUCCUUUCCUUGA
rnacentral:tRNA from 1 species